rnacentral:miRNA from 1 species
UGCCGUUUUACAAUGCAAAAAA